UAAGUACUCCUUCCGUCCGGAAAUACUAGUCGCACAAAUAGAUAAAAUUGAAUGUAUCUAGAAUUAAAAUAUGUCUAGAUACAUCCAUUUCUCCGACAAGUAUUUCUAGACGGAGGGAGUAAAAA
rfam:Triticum aestivum genome assembly, contig: Triticum_aestivum_CS42_TGACv1_scaffold_130720_2BL